CAGUCGCCGCGGUAAUACGUAGGUGGCGAGCGUUGUCCGGAAUUAUUGGGCGUAAAGGGCUCGCAGGCGGUUUCUUAAGUCUGAUGUGAAAGCCCCCGGCUCGACCGGGGAGGGUCAUUGGAAACUGGGAAACUUGAGUGCAGAAGAGGAGAGUGGAAUUCCACGUGUAGCGGUGAAAUGCGUAGAGAUGUGGAGGAACACCAGUGGCGAAGGCGACUCUCUGGUCUGUAACUGACGCUGAGGAGCGAAAGCGUGGGGAGCGAACAGGAUUAGAUACCCCGGUAGUCCCUGUCUCUUAUAC
rnacentral:rRNA from 1 species